GAUGAACGCUGGCGGCGUGCCUAAUACAUGCCAGUCGAGCGAACAGACGAGGAGCUUGCUCCUCUGACGUUAGCGGCGGACGGGUGAGUAACACGUGGAUAACCUACCUAUAAGACUGGGAUAACUUCGGGAAACCGGAGCUAAUACCGGAUAAUAUAUUGAACCGCAUGGUUCAAUAGUGAAAGACGGUUUUGCUGUCACUUAUAGAUGGAUCCGCGCCGCAUUAGCUAGUUGGUAAGGUAACGGCUUACCAAGGCAACGAUGCGUAGCCGACCUGAGAGGGUGAUCGGCCACACUGGAACUGAGACACGGUCCAGACUCCUACGGGAGGCAGCAGUAGGGAAUCUUCCGCAAUGGGCGAAAGCCUGACGGAGCAACGCCGCGUGAGUGAUGAAGGUCUUCGGAUCGUAAAACUCUGUUAUUAGGGAAGAACAAAUGUGUAAGUAACUAUGCACGUCUUGACGGUACCUAAUCAGAAAGCGACGGCUAACUACGUG
rnacentral:rRNA from 1 species